rnacentral:lncRNA from 1 species
UCGCGGCCGCUCCUCCCUCCGCACGAACCAGCCGCUGUUCGCCUCUGUCCAGCCCCCGUCCGGCCACCUCCGGCCACCGCCUAGCCCCGCCAAACCACCCCCGCGACCCCCUCGCCCUCCGCCGGCUUCCCCUUGCCGCCCUAGCCGCCGGAGCAGCCCCGAUCGGCUCCGUCUAGCAGACCCACGGAGUGGGUUUCAGCAUCUUCGGGCCCGCUUUUGGGCCGUUUCCCAGCCCCGGAUCCGCGAGUCGCUUUGGGAACAAUCGUUCCUCGCGUCGCCGCCGUCGGAUUGAUCCGAUUUGCGCGCGAUUUGGUGAGUAAUCUCACUAAUCCUGUAUUAGUUUGCUAAUUAUGCUUAAGGUUGGUUUAGAUUUAAUUAAUUAUGUUUAGGUUGUUAGAUUUGAAUAAAUUAGCAAUUAUUAGUUAAUUGUGAUGCGAUUUAGAUAACUUGAUUGCGUAAUUAGCAAGUAGACGUGGUCUACUAAUUAUUGGAAGUGCUUCGGGAAUUUUCCCGACCCUUAGUGGGCUCCAAUUAGGCUUUUCGGGCCUAAGUGGAUAUUUUAGUAUUUAAUUAUUAAUUUUCGGAAUUGCAUUAAAUAAUUAUUUAUUUUCUGAAAAUUCAACUGAGAUGGCUCGGGACCGGAAUAUUGUGCUGAUGACCGUGGUGAAGUCCGUUUAUUUAAUCGGGCUUUAUUUUGAGCUAAAUUGAAUUUUUUAAUAUUAAUUUUAAUUUUCGAAAUUUAUAAAUUAAUUAAUUAUUUUUCGGAAAUUAAGAUUUUGAUGGCCGACGACCGAAAUCUCGUGCUGAUUGUCGUGGCGCAGUCCGUUUAUUUAUUUGAGCUCUACGUUGUAUGGAAUUGAAUAAAUUGUGAUAUUUUAGGGAUUUACCCUAAAUUGAUUGGAAUUGAUUGUGAUUGAAUUGUUGAUUGGUAAAUGGCCAAGUAUGUUAUUCAGUAUUUUAAUGCUUUGUUGAGUUGAUUUAAUUAUUUGAUUGAGAAAUCGUUGGGCGUUGGUUAUUGGUGUUGAAAGUAGAUUGGUGACCACUUGAAAGAGGACACGUGGGCCCGGUGAAUUGGAAUGUCACCUGGAGAAUGCACGUGAGUUCAGUGGUUGAAUAUGUCACCUUGGCGAAAAGGUCGCCUGAGAGAAUGCACGUGGCUUGGUGACAGAGGCUGGCAUCUAAAAGGGCACGUGGGCUCGGCGAAUUGAUGCAUCGCUUUGGUGAGAUGCACCUAAGAGAAUGCAUGUGGCUCGGUGACAGAGGCUGGCAUCUAAAAGGGCACGUGGGCUCGGCGAAUUGAUGCAUCGCUUUGGUGAGAUGCACCUAAGAGAAUGCACGUGGGCCCGGGCAUCUAAAAGGGCACGUGGGCUCGGUGACUUGAUGCAUCACUUUGGCGAAAAGGUCGCCUGAGAGAAUGCACGUGGGCCCAAGGUUCGAGGCACGUGAACUCGGAGACUUGGAAUGUCAUCCUGGAGAAUGCACGUGGCCUAGCUUUUAAAUAUCCCACAGCGGGGAUUGAUUUGCAUGACAUGAAAUCGACUAGUUCGAUUUGUUUGAAGCGAAUGGCUGUUUAUUGUGAAUUGUACUGACUUGCAGGUGAGAUCAGAGGCCAAGGUAAGUCCUCUGCCCUGUGCGUGUUUAGGCGGCCUUUAGUAUAAUAGUUUACUAAUCGGGCUUAGUGGGGUAGAACUCGCUGAGACGUAGUCUCAUCCCAGUUUGGGGAAACCAUUUCAGGACCCCGCUGAAGAGCUGUGGAGGAGGAAUCCGAGAAGGAGAACUCAGAGGAGAGAUCUGAAGAAAAGGAUUUUUGGAAGAAGAAGACAAUUAUGAGAGGGGCCUUGAGUACGGCCUAGUUCAUCUAAGUUUCUGUCUUCUUUUGAGAUCUCCAUUUUGAUGUGAAUAGUUAUGAAAGGGUUUGUGGUUUGUAUAAAAGUGUGGUUAUAAAUUUCAAUAUGAAAAAUAUGGCCCUGCUUUUCUAUCCCAUCGUUUUAUUGUCUGGGGAUUUUAACUGCUUCCGCAUGUGCUUAAAAAUGAAAGGGUCGGCGAUACAUUGUCCUGGGAUAUCGCAUUAUAAAAUCGACCAAAUAGAAGGAUGUGCACGUGCCCGAGGAUCGGGGCGUGACACAGUCAAUGGGAGAUUUCCAGCUUGUUCGUGUUCC